rnacentral:rRNA from 1 species
AUUGAACGCUGGCGGCAGGCCUAACACAUGCAAGUCGAACGGUAACAGGAAGCAGCUUGCUGCUUCGCUGACGAGUGGCGGACGGGUGAGUCAUGUCUGGGAAGCUGCCUGAUGGCGGGGGAUAACUACUGGAAACGGUAGCUAAUCCCGCAUAAUGUCGCAAGACCAAAGAGGGGGACCUUCGGGCCUCUUGCCAUCGGAUGUGCCCAGAUGGGAUUAGCUUGUUGGUGGGGUAACGGCUCACCAAGGCGACGAUCCCUAGCUGAUCUGAGAGGGUGACCAGCCACACUGGAACUGAGACACGGUCCAGACUCCUACGGGAGGCAGCAGUGGGGAAUAUUGCACAAUGGGCGCAAGCCUGAUGCAGCCAUGCCGCGUGUAUGAAGAAGGCCUUCGGAUUGUAAAGUACUUUCAGCGGGGAGGAAGGGAGUAAAGUUAAUACCUUUGCUCAUUGACGGUACCCGCAGAAGAAGCACCGGCUAACUCCGUG